rnacentral:tRNA from 3 species
CAAACAAUAGUCUAAAUUAGGAUCCUAG